UAAAGAAUGGAAUGAUUUUUCUCAAGGAUACCAGAGUGGAGGGGGUGCACCGAGUCAUCCGCGAGGCUGAGAACAGAAUGCACAAUACAGAAGCCUCGUUCAUGCUCUGUCCCUCUCAUCACUGGACAGUACUACUUCCCACAGCUCGAGGACCCGAUAUGUUCUCUUUAGAAAAUUAUACUCAAGA
rnacentral:lncRNA from 1 species